rnacentral:tRNA from 1 species
GCGAAGGUGGCGGAAUUGGUAGAGCGCGCUAGCUUCAGGUGUUAGUGUCCUUACGGACGUGUGGGGUUCAAGUCCCCCCCCCCUCGCACCA